AAAUUGAAGAGUUUGAUCAUGGCUCAGAUUGAACGCUGGCGGCAGGCCUAACACAUGCAAGUCGAACGGUAACAGGAAACAGCUUGCUGUU
rnacentral:rRNA from 1 species